rnacentral:lncRNA from 1 species
AGAAGGUCCGGGGGCUGGAGUCCUGGGACCUAGCUCGGGACCGGCCUGGAGAUGGAGUUCGACUGCGAGGGCCUGAGACGGCUGCUUGGCAAGUACAAGUUCAGGGACCUAACUGUGGAAGAACUAAGGAAUGUAAAUGUAUUUUUCCCACAUUUCAAAUAUUCCAUGGACACCUAUGUUUUUAAAGAUAGUUCUCAGAAAGACCUGCUGAAUUUUACUGGCACAAUUCCUGUGAUGUAUCAGGGUAAUACAUAUAACAUACCAAUUCGUUUCUGGAUUUUGGAUUCUCACCCUUUCGCUCCCCCUAUUUGCUUCUUGAAGCCAACUGCAAAUAUGGGAAUCUUAGUCGGAAAACAUGUGGAUGCUCAAGGCAGAAUAUAUUUGCCCUAUCUCCAAAACUGGAGCCAUGUAAGAUCAAUUUGGAUUUUCUACAGAAAGCUUUUUUUUUUUUUUAAAUACCUAUCAUUGAUUCUGCUGGUACAAAUAAGUAUGAUACUGCAUUUUCUUUCAAUGAUAUUCUUCAUGUAGUCUUUGGAAGUAAUUUGAAAUUGAGCUCUCUAGGGUUACCCAAGUCCCAGAACCCUGAUGACAACUGCCUGUACAAAGCUGCUCCCUCCAGGUUUUGGAGCCAACUGUUUGCUCCCUGUCUUUUUAUAGUCGUUUCCCACUUGAGAAAGUACAGGAGGAGCUACUAGCAAGUGAUUGGGGCAUUAUUUCCAAGUCC